rnacentral:lncRNA from 1 species
AUACAAUUUGUGUCGCCCAGUUAUAGAGAUUUGCAACUCAAACAUUCAGAGGGAUGUGCUGUACAUCGAACAACAAAUUUAUUAAAGAAAAUGGUAUUAAAAAUGUAAAACUGAUGCAGUUGUUUGUUUUGUGACUUCUGGUUGCCGAGUUCUAACUAUACUAAAUCAGUCAUCCUCGUAUCUAACAACAUUGAAAAAUCAACAUGUAAUUUAUCUAUUUGUUUUGUUUUAUUAGUUUUAAACAAAGAUUCAAUAUAAAUAAAAAAUAAAUUAAAUUUAAAAAAAAAAACAGAAUGUUUCACCAAAUUCAUAUAAGCUAUUUGAAACCAAAUUCUUAUGCUUUUGAUCUAAUAAAUAAUAAAUAAAUAAUUUUGCAGGCCAGUAUAUAAAUAUGAGAAAUAAAAGGAAAAAAUUCAAAUAUAGGAACGGCAACGUAGGAUUGGCAAUUUGGCUGAUUUGGCCUUUUUCCAUUCCAGUCCUACUACGGACCAGAUAUGUGAUAAAAAAAAUAUAUUUUUAAAGCAGGAUCCAAUCAGGUUCAAAUAACACUCAAUAUUAUUUAUUUUAUAUAUUAUUAUCAUAUGUUAAAAAUAUAUUUUUAUUAGAAUCUUAAAUAUAUUUAUUUAGUAUUUUAAUUAUUAUUAAGUAUGAUUGAAGAAAUAAAAUCUAAAUUUAAAUAAUAUUUAAUAUAAUGUUUAAAAAAUUAUAUUUUUACUUAUAUUUUAUAAAUAAUGUAUAUAUUUCGGAUAUAAUUCAUAAUAGGUUAUAAAGUGGAGUAGUUUAAAUCCAUCGCAGCAAAGCUAAUAUUACUCGUCGAGUUAUCUAUGAGUAUGGAAUAAAUUGCUAUUUUUAUAAAAAUAUAAUAAAAUAAUUUCAUGAUAUUUAUAAUUAUCAUGUCUUCUACAUAUCUUUGUUUCCUAAAAUUGAGUUAGGGUAGCUAGAUUUUAGCGGAUUCAUUUAAAAAAUAAAUAAAAAAUAUAUAAACUAAACAAUAUCAUAUUUUUUUUAGUAUUUAUUAUUAAUCAUAUGCGUAUCAAGUUGAAGUGAGCAAAGGCGGUAUUAAUAAAGAAUCGUUGAGAAAGUUAAAGAGAAAUAGUGAGAGGUGAAGCACUGAUAGCAUACAGAUCAUUGAUGCGAGCAACUCGUAAAUCUAUUUUGAUAAAUGAGUAAUGAUAAUAAUGCCUUUUGUAUAUAUUAAUUCAAUCAAUUUUUUUGUAAUAAGUCUUUUGAAAUGGGGCAAAAGGUGUCGGAACUAAAACCAAAGGUAGAAUUAGGAGUUAGAAUCUUGAUGAAUAUAAUAAUAUAUGAACUUCAUUUAUUUACCAAGUCUAAGGAUAAACAAGGAGCCACAAAGGUGAGUCUUAAGUGUAGUGAUUCGGAUAAUAACGACAUUUAUUAACUCGCUCUGUUACUCUUUGUCAAAUGUCAAAAGGCUUUAGUACACGAGUAGUUCAUUUAUUUUCCAACUUAGCCUUGCCACUCUCUUGCUUAUUAAGCUGUAAUUUGAGCUCUCUUUUUAUUUUAUUUUAACUGUUACUUUUUAAUAAUUUAUUUAAAUUAAAAAAUAUUUAAUAAGUUUAAUUAUAAAAAAAAACUAACUAAAUUAGACUAUGUUGUAAAAUUAUUACACCUAUUCAAAUGUAAGAAUAAAAUAUAAAAAAAUAUUAAUAUUACAUUAGAUAUAUAAAAGUUACUAGAUAAUUAAAAAUUUUUAUUUGGAAAAAAUAACAGUUAAUAUGGAAUAAAAAAAAAAGCAACAUUCAAUUAGUCAAGUAAUAUAUUACAUUUUAAUUUUUAUAUAAUUGUCUUGAAGUUCCGGAGUUUUUCCACAUAUUAUUGAGUUGUCUAAAAUAAUCUAUAUUUCAGAUGUAUUUAAGUAGUAUAUUUAUUUUAUUAUAUAAAAUUAAAAAUAAUAACAGCUUUAUUAUAUAUAUAUAAAAAAAAAUAAUGAUUCCUUGCAAAUAUCUAAGCUACCUUAGCAUCUCUAAGGAUUAGUUUAAAAGUUUAGCGCAUAUUAGGAAGGUAUUAAGCAUCCCAAUUUAUACUAAGUUUAGUCGUAAGUACAGUAAUUGCCGGUGAAGUCAACAAAAAUCGUUAGACUUUGGUUCUUUUAUUAUUUUUAAUUGGUAAUAAAAAUAAUCAUUACAUUAGGUAACUAAAGAUCAGUCCGUUAACCGAAACAUCUAUCCUAAAAAUUCUACAAUAUAUAAACCUAGUUAUUUAAAAAAUUAUGCAAUAAAUAAAACUUUAGUAAUUAAGCAAUUGUAGAAAGAUAAAAAUUAUUAAAAAAAAUUACUAAUUCUAUUGCCUAUUAAUAACUAUGCAUAAAAUAUGUAUAUUGGUAAUAUUAAUCUGAGCGGAGUAAAAAAAUUCAAAUAACUCAAAUUAAUGAUAAAUCAUUAUAUAAAUUAUAUUUGAAUAAAUAUUUCUGAGAAAUUAAAAGAAUCAUACCAGCAUAUUAAAAUGAAAACUUGUUUCACUUUAGUUAUAUCGAAAUAAUAUAUUAUUUUAUAUAAAUAAAAAAUAUUUAAUUAAAAAUUAUAAUUAAUCUUAUAAAUUUAAUUAUAUUAAAUUCUAGAUAAUUUUUAAUUUAUUAUAUAUUUAAAAGUUGUAAUAAAAAUAAAUAAAUAAAUAAAUAAAUAUAAAUAUAAAAAAAAAUAUUUUUAUAGAAUGUGCGCAUGAAAUUGAGAUGGCACAAAGUUGAACACAAUUAAACAUCAAUAGGUCACAAGUUAAUUAUUUCUCAAUUAUGGGUUAAUUAUUUCUCAAAAAAAAAGAGAAGAAAACUCAAAAUUCAAAUGGGAAAUGGCGAUGGUAUAUAGCUUAAACAAAACCGAAAAGGAAUAAAUUGAAUUUACUCACACUUUGAACACGAGCCAUCUUCUUCAAAGACCAGCGAGAGAAAGCUUUUGAGUCUUUCUGGUUAAUAGCUAUUGGAAAUUAACCAGCAAUAAACACGAGUACAAUAGCGUUAGGGUUUUAACUGGAUUGAGGUUUUUGGGAUUUUUCUUUUGUUUUUUGAGGGGAUGGGUUUUUUUUUUUUUUUUUUUUUUUUGUUUAACUUGGGUUGGCACUUGGCGGAAAAUAAAUAAAAAUAUAUAAAUUAAACGAUGUCGUUUUUUUC